GAUCAUGGCUCAGGAUGAACGCUAGCUACAGGCUUAACACAUGCAAGUCGAGGGGAAACGAUAUUGGAAGCUUGCUUUUGAUGGGCGUCGACCGGCGCACGGGUGAGUAACGCGUAUCCAACCUGCCCACCACUUGGGGAUAACCUUGCGAAAGUAAGACUAAUACCCAAUGAUAUCUCUAGAAGACAUCUGAAAGAGAUUAAAGAUUCAUCGGUGAUGGAUGGGGAUGCGU
rnacentral:rRNA from 1 species